UUUAACUUUGUUGACAAAAUGCUUUCGUGCAGUUUUUUUUAUUAUGUGCGCUGUCAAAAUUUCCUUUGUUGACUAAUUACAUCCAGCAAAAUUCUAGACUCCUGAUUAAAGUGGACCGAUUUAGCUUGCGAGAAGCUUCCACGAAUGACAACGAAGAAAAGUGUCGAAUCACUUCCUAAAAUGGUUUAAAAAGCUAUUAAUCGGCAAUGUACCAGUCCGAGGCGAAAACAAAAUAAGUCAGAUGAAAAACCAACAGAUAGCAGAACCACUGCAAGCUCCCCAUCCUUCUGAUUUCGGUCAAGUGAUAUUGGUAUGUUUUACAUGUUGAAACCUUCCGGAUGAAACUAAAUUAGAAUCGUAUCGGAAAAAAUACGAAUGCACCACGUUAUCGAUCGGAUUUUGCUAACAUUGGCAUACGAGAAGUGUUUCGUUCAUUCCAGUACCAGCUAACCAGUCUGCAUUUUUCUGAUGGUCAGUUGAUCACAUUGUUUGAGAGUGAGAAACGCACGUGCCUUUCGGUCUUCUAUCUAUUGCAAUUUAGAAUGAAAGAUGUGCUGUAUUAACAUACCUAUGACGAAAACAAUUUAUUGCUUUUUGGUUGAAUUCGAAGGCAUGCUAUACGAUUGUUUUCGAUGUGAGGACUGAAUUUCCAGCAGGAGAAUAACCUUUUGUUGCAAUUAUUGAAAACGCCGCCAAGCUGGUUUUCCAGGAACUGUGAGAAAAUCGAAAUUGUUUAAAAAAAAGAGUAAAUUUUUUCUUCAGAAACAUACUGGUACUAAUUGUUUUGGUUUUCUCCCAGGUUCAACUGAUGCAGCAAAGAUGUUAUCAGGAAUUCCAAACAACUACACGGCUUUCUCUGCUUGUACAUUCUUUUCUAGCAACAUGGCUGGGGAAAACUUGGUCAAGGUUCAUAUUUGGAAGUUGCAGCCAAAAUCUGAUGUACUCAUGUCGACCACGUCAAACGUCACUUCCAUUUAUUCCAUUGAUUCAGUGUUCCGAAUUCCACUAGCGUUUUAGGCGUUUUCAGUCCCGUCGCAGUACAAUAUCGGAAACAGUUGGUGUUUAUUCUGCCUAUAAUAGCAAGUCAGUGUAGAUAGGGGUCAUAUAACAUGGAACUGACUUGU